AUUGAACGCUGGCGGCAUGCUUUACACAUGCAAGUCGAACGAUGAACCUUAGCUUGCUAAGGGGAUUAGUGGUGAACGGGUGAGUAAUGUAUUGGAACGUAUCAAAUAAUGGGGGAUAACUAGUCGAAAGAUUAGCUAAUACCGCAUACGUCCUACGGGAGAAAGCUAGGGACCUUCGGGCUUGCAGUUAAUGGAGCGGCCGAUAUCUGAUUGGCUAGUUGGUGGGGUAAAGGCGCACCAAGGCGACGAUCAGUAGCUGGUCGGAGAGGACGACCAGCCACACGGGAGCGGGAGCACGGUCGAUGCGCCGAAGGGAGGCAGCAGUGGGGAAUUUUGGACAAUGGGCGAAAGCCAGAUCCAGCCAUUCCGCGUGAGUGAAGAAGGCCUUCGGGUUGUAAAGCUCUUUCGCAAGAGAAUAAAACUUAGGCUCUAACAUAGCUUGAGGUUGACGGUACCUUGAUAAGAAGCACCGGCUAACUACGUGCCAGCAGCCGCCGUAA
rnacentral:rRNA from 1 species